rnacentral:rRNA from 1 species
UACGACUACAUAUCAGGCAUAUCAAUAAGCGGAGGAAAAGAAACUAACAAGGAUUCCCCUAGUAACGGCGAGUGAAGCGGGAAGAGCUCAAAUUUGAAAUCUUCAAGGUUCUACCUUGACGAAUUGUAGUUUAAAGAAGUGUUUUCGGUUAGAGGAGUAGUAAAAGUUCUUUGGAAUAGGACAUCAUAGAGGGUGAGAAUCCCGUAUUUGACCAUUAUUUCCAGCUUUGUGAUACACUUUCAAAGAGUCGGAUUGUUUGGGAAUGCAGUCCAAAAUGGGUGGUAAAUUUCAUCUAAAGCUAAAUAUUGGCGAGAGACCGAUAGCGAACAAGUACCGUGAGGGAAAGAUGAAAAGAACUUUGAAAAGAGAGUUAAACAGUACGUGAAAUUGUCAAAAGGGAAGCGUUUGACACCAGUGUUGUUUUUCCGAAAAUCAAUUAAAAAUAGAUUCAUGCUAAGUAGUAUUGACCUCAUCAGCUUGCUGCUUAGUUUUGGGUCAUUUUUUGAUGCACUUUUCGGUUAACAAGUCAACAUCAAUUUCUUUUGCCGUAAAAAGGUAGAAGGAAGGUGGCUUUCGGCUUCGGUUGAAGUGUUUAUAGCCUUUUAUCUCCUGCAGGUCGGAGAGAUUGAGGUCUGCAGCGUAGACUCUUCGGGGUUAGAUACGUCGAUGCUAAGCUAUAGCUUUUCAUAGACAACUUGUUGACUAUGUUUAGUCAUGUGGCUUACCCGCUGGCGCUAUUUUACCUACGCUUAGGAUGUUGACUGAUAUGUAGUCGUA